CUCAAAAUCAUAUUUGAUUGGCAAUGGUUAAUUGUUGUUAACAUAUAUAAAAUAAAUUACUUUAUGUACCUUUCCAUUAACCACCUAUUUAUUAUUGUAUUUAAUAUGUUGGCUUAAAAAUAAAAUAUGAUAUUCAAAUACCAUGUGUUAUGAAUAUUUUCAAUUAUUUUUUGUACUAUGGUAACCUGAUAACCACACACAUGGUUUAUAUAAUUUAUAGUAUUUACUAAUUUUACAGUAUUUACUGAAAAAUAAUGAUAAAUCAANUAUUAUAAAUAUUUGAUACUUAGUUCUAUACUUAUAUCAUAAAUACGGUA